GAUGAACGCUAGCUACAGGCUUAACACAUGCAAGUCGAGGGGAAACGACAUCGAAAGCUUGCUUUUGAUGGGCGUCGACCGGCGCACGGGUGAGUAACGCGUAUCCAACCUGCCCACCACUUGGGAAUAACCUUGCGAAAGUAAGACUAAUACCCAAUGAUAUCUCUAGAAGACAUCUGAAAGAGAUUAAAGAUUUAUCGGUGAUGGAUGGGGAUGCGUCUGAUUAGCUUGUUGGCGGGGUAACGGCCCACCAGGGCUACGAUCAGUAGGGGUUCUGAGAGGAAGGUCCCACACAUUGGAACUGAGACACGGUCCAAACUACUACGGGAGGCAGCAGUGAGGAAUAUUGGUCAAUGGGCGAGAGCCUGAACCAGCCAAGUAGCGUGCAGGAUGACGGCCCUAUGGGUUGUAAACUGCUUUUAUAGGGGAAUAAAGUGAGCCUCGUGAGGCUUUUCGCAUGUACCUUAUGAAUAAGGACCGGCUAAUUCCGUGCCAGCAGCCGCCGUAA
rnacentral:rRNA from 1 species